rnacentral:misc_RNA from 1 species
UCAAACUUGGUCAUUUAGAGGAAGUAAAAGUCGUAACAAGGUAACCGUAGGUGAACCUGCGGUUGGAUCAUUAAUAAAUUUUAUUAAAGGUCAAGAUUAAAAGCGUUCGAAAGAACCUUUUACUUGAUUCUUUAAACAAACUUGUGAAUUAAUUAAAGUCUUUUGGGGCUAGUUAUCUUGAUCGAUGUUAGCCCCAAAAAAUUAUAUAAACAAUUAUUCUUUAAUUGCCUUAAAAUUUAAAUUUUAAAUUUAAACAACUUUUGACAACGGAUCUCUUGGCUCUCGCAUCGAUGAAGAACGCAGC